UACGUAGGUGGCAAGCGUUGUCCGGAUUUACUGGGCGUAAAGAGCGCGCAGGCGGUCGGAUCAGUCGAAUGUGAAAGCCCCCGGCUCAACUGGGGAGGGUCAUUCGAUACUGUCCGACUCGAAGGCAGGAGAGGGAAGCGGAAUUCCCGGUGUAGUGGUGAAAUGCGUAGAGAUCGGGAGGAACACUGUGGCGAAGGCGGCCAUCUGGACCGCACUGACACUGAGGCACGGAAAGCGAUGGGGGAGGCCAAACAGGG
rnacentral:rRNA from 1 species